rnacentral:snoRNA from 1 species
UAUCUCCUGUUUCCUUGGUCAUCAGAUCUAAACACUGAUCUGAGUGGUUACAAAGAAGGAAAAUACAAUUGAAACCCAAGUUCAAUGCCUUUUGACACAUAGGGGGUUUCAAAUGAUU